rnacentral:rRNA from 1 species
AUGCACGCUGGCGGCGUGCCUCAUACAUGCCAGUCGAGCGAACGGACGAGAAGCUUGCUUCUCUGAUGUUAGCGGCGGACGGGUGAGUAACACGUGGAUAACCUACCUAUAAGACUGGGAUAACUUCGGGAAACCGUAGCUAAUACCGGAUAAUAUUUUGAACCGCAUGGUUCAAAAGUGAAAGACGGUCUUGCUGUCACUUAUAGAUGGAUCCGCGCUGCAUUAGCUAGUUGGUAAGGUAACGGCUUACCAAGGCAACGAUGCAUAGCCGACCUGAGAGGGUGAUCGGCCACACUGGAACUGAGACACGGUCCAGACUCCUACGGGAGGCAGCAGUAGGGAAUCUUCCGCAAUGGGCGAAAGCCUGACGGAGCAACGCCGCGUGAGUGAUGAAGGUCUUCGGAUCGUAAAACUCUGUUAUUAGGGAAGAACAUAUGUGUAAGUAACUGUGCACAUCUUGACGGUACCUAAUCAGAAAGCCACGGCUAACUACGUG